rnacentral:rRNA from 1 species
AGUGAAGCGGCAACAGCUCAAAUUUGAAAUCUGGCUCUUUCCCAAUCCGAGUUGUAAUUAGCAUACGGCGCUUUGGCUUUCGACUGAGUCCCCUGUCCUUGGAACCCGACGUCGGUGAGGGUGACAAUCCCGUACGUGGCCACUCUGUAUUGCCGUGCUUCGCCCCUUCGACGAGUCUAGUUGUUUGGGAAUGCAUGUCUAAAUGGUAUGUACAUUUCUUCUAUACCUAAAUACUGGCCAUAGACCGAUAGCGCACUGAUCGAGUGAUCAAAAGAUGAUUAGCACUUUGGAAAGACAGUCCAACAGCUCGUGAAAUUGUUGAGAGGGAAGAGCUUGCUUGCGUACUUGCUUGCACCUGCUCAUCCCGGCUUUUGCCCCGUGCACUCUUCUGCCAGCAUGCCAUCAUCACUUUGGACGGUGGGAUGAAGGUCUCUGAUCCUUUCCUUCCGUCGGGUUGGCCUUAUAAGGGAGACGUCAUACCACCAGCCUGGACUGACGUCCGCACAUCUGCUAAGAUGCUGGCGUAAUGGCUGUAAGCGCCCCGUCCAGAACCACGGACCA